AUUAUUAUUAUUAUUAUUAUUACUAUAUGUGUGUGAGUAUAUAUUUCCACAUUGGGGACAGUGUGACCCCUAAGACGUGGGAUGCAAGUUUUUUUUUUUACUGUGUGAGGACUACAGGACUUUUCACCGGGUCAAAAAGACCCCAGUCAUCACUGGGUCAAAAAGACCCCAGUCAGUACCCCAGUCAGUGUGACCCCUGAGACGUGGGAUGCAGGUUUAUUUUUUUAUUUAUUUUUAUUUUUAUUUUUUUUACUGUGUGAGGACUACAGGACCUUUCACUGGGUCAAAAAGACCCCAGUCAGUGCGGACUGGGACAGUGUGACCCUUGAGACAUGGGAUGUAGGUCUUAACUUGAGGACAACAGGAGGGUUAAAA